rnacentral:rRNA from 1 species
UUUUGGACAAUGGGCGCAAGCCUGAUCCAGCCAUGCCGCGUGCAGAAAGAAGGCCUUCGGGUUGUAAACUGCUUUUGUACGGAGCGAAAAGCCCCUGGCGAAUAACCGGGGGUCAUGACGGUACCGUAAGAAUCAGCACCGGCUAACUACGCGCCAGCAGCCGCGGUAAUACGUAGGGUGCAAGCGUUAAUCGGAAUUACUGGGCGUAAAGCGUGCGCAGGCGGUGUUGAAAGACAGAGGUUAAAUCCCCGGGCUCAACCUGGGAACUGCCAUUGUGACUGCAAAGCUGGAGUGCGGCAGAGGGGGAUGGAAUUCCGCGUGAAGCAUAGAAAUGCGUAAAGAUGUGGAAGAACACCGAUGGCGAAGGCAGCUCCCUGGGUUGACACUGACGCUCAUGCACGAAAGCGUGGGGAGCAAAC